AUCGUAAAGGGCUCGCGCAUGAAAUUUUAAUUUUUGCCCGGGAAGAAUAAACUUGCGUCGUUGCUGACUAUUGUUUUACGGUUGAGUAAUGUCUGGGAAACUGCCUGAUGGAGGGGGAUAACUACUGGAAACGGUAGCUAAUACCGCAUAACGUCGCAAGACCAAAGAGGGGGACCUUCGGGCCUCUUGCCAUCGGAUGUGCCCAGAUGGGAUUAGCUAGUAGGUGGGGUAACGGCUCACCUAGGCGACGAUCCCUAGCUGGUCUGAGAGGAUGACCAGCCACACUGGAACUGAGACACGGUCCAGACUCCUACGGGAGGCAGCAGUGGGGAAUAUUGCACAAUGGGCGCAAGCCUGAUGCAGCCAUGCCGCGUGUAUGAAGAAGGCCUUCGGGUUGUAAAGUACUUUCAGCGGGGAGGAAGGGAGUAAAGUUAAUACCUUUGCUCAUUGACGUUACCCGCAGAAGAAGCACCGGCUAACUCCGUGCCAGCGGCCGCGGUAAUACGGAGGGUGCAAGCGUUUAUCGGAAUUACUGGGCGUAAAGCGCACGCCGGCGGGGUUGUUAAGUCAAAUGUGAAAUUCCCCGGGGCUCACCCUGGGGAACUGCCUCCUGAGACUGGGCAGA
rnacentral:rRNA from 1 species